GACGAACGCUGGCGGCGUGCUUAACACAUGCAAGUCGAACGGAAAGGCCCUGCUUUUGUGGGGUGCUCGAGUGGCGAACGGGUGAGUAACACGUGAGUAACCUGCCCUUGACUUUGGGAUAACUUCAGGAAACUGGGGCUAAUACCGGAUAGGAGCUCCUGCUGCAUGUGGGGGGUUGGAAAGUUUCGGCGGUGGGGGCUGGACUCGCGGCUUAUCAGCUUGUUGGGGGGGUAGUGGCUUACCAAGGCUUUGACGGGUAGCCGGCCUGAGAGGGUGACCGGCCACAUUGGGACUGAGAUACGGCGCAGUCGCCUACGGGAGGCAGCAGUGGGGAAUAUUGCACAAUGGGCGGGAGCCUGAUGCAGCAACGCCGCGUGCGGGAUGACGGCCUUCGGGUUGUAAACCGCUUUCGCCUGUGACGAAGCGUGCGUGACGGUAAUGGGUAAAGAAGCACCGGCUAACUACGUG
rnacentral:rRNA from 1 species